AAUGGGCGCAAGCCUGAUCCAGCCAUGCCGCGUGCGUGAAGAAGGCCUUCGGGUUGGAAAACUCUUUUUGCCGGGAAGAAAACGCCCGGACCUGUACCCGGCGGACAGGACCGUACCAAGACAGAACGCCCCGGUUCACACCAGGCGCCGCGGCACUGCAAUACAA
rnacentral:rRNA from 1 species